AAAUUACCCACUCCCGGCACGGGGAGGUAGUGACGAAAAAUAACGAUACGGGACUCAUCCGAGGCCCCGUAAUCGGAAUGAGUACACUCUAAACACGUUCCCGAAAAUCAAUUGGAGGGUAAGUCUGGUGCCAGCAGCCGCGGUAAUUCCAGCUCCAAUAGCGUAUAUUAAAGUUGUUGCGGUUAAAAAGCUCGUAGUCGAAUCUGUGUCCCGCGCCGCCGGUUCAUCGCUCGCGGUGUUCAACUGGCGUGUCUCGCGGGACGUCCUGCCGGUGGGAUCACGUAUCGUUUCGGCGGUGCGUCUCCCAACUCGUCUCCGCCUUGCGCGGUUGCGAAUCCCAUCGCGGUGCUCUUUAUUGAGUGUCGAGGUGGGCCGGCACGUUUACUUUGAACAAAUUAGAGUGCUUAAAGCAGGCCAGUUUUGCCUGAAUAUUCUGUGCAUGGAAUAAUGGAAUAGGACCUCGGUUCUAUUUUGUUGGUUUUCGGAACCCCGAGGUAAUGAUUAAUAGAAACGGAUGGGGGCAUUCGUAUUGCGACGUUAGAGGUGAAAUUCUUGGAUCGUCGCAAGACGGACAGAAGCGAAAGCAUUUGCCAAAAACGCUUUCAUUGAUCAAGAACGAAAGUUAGAGGUUCGAAGGCGAUCAGAUACCGCCCUAGUUCUAACCAUAAACGAUGCCAGCUAGCGAUCCGCCGACGUUCCUCCGAUGACUCGGCGGGCAGCUUCCGGGAAACCAAAGCUUUUGGGUUCCGGGGGAAGUAUGGUUGCAAAGCUGAAACUUAAAGGAAUUGACGGAAGGGCACCACCAGGAGUGGAGCCUGCGGCUUAAUUUGACUCAACACGGGUAACCUCACCAGGUCCAGACACCGGAAGGAUUGACAGAUUGAGAGCUCUUUCUUGAUUCGGUGGGUGGUGGUGCAUGGCCGUUCUUAGUUGGUGG
rnacentral:rRNA from 1 species